rnacentral:snRNA from 1 species
GUGCUUGCUUUGGCAACACAUAUACUAAAAUUGGAACGAUACAGAGAUUAGCAUGGCCCCUGCGCAACGAUGACAUGCAAAUUCGUGAAGCAUUCCAUAUUUUU